CCCUUAGAUGUUCUGGGCCGCACGCGCGCUACACUGAUGCAUUCAACGAGCCUAUCCUUGACCGACAGGUCCGGGUAAUCUUUGAAUCUGCAUCGUGACGGGGAUAGAUUAUUGCAAUUAUUAAUCUUCAACGAGGAAUGCCUAGUAGGCGCAAGUCAUCAGCUUGCGUCGAUUACGUCCCUGCCCUUUGUACACACCGCCCGUCGCUCCUACCGAUUGGGUGUGCUGGUGAAAUGUUCGGAUCGGCCGUUUGUCGCGGUUUCCGCGUCAUGCGGCUGAGAAGUUCAUUAAACCCUCCCACCGAGAGGAAGGAGAAGUCGUAACA
rnacentral:rRNA from 1 species